rnacentral:rRNA from 1 species
GACGAACGCUGGCGGCGUGCUUAACACAUGCAAGUCGAACGAUGAAGCCGGAGCUUGCUCUGGUGAAUUAGUGGCGAACGGGUGAGUAACACGUGAGUAACCUGCCCUUGACUCUGGGAUAACUGCGGGAAACUGUAGCUAAUACCGGAUACGACCCUCGGCGGCAUCGCCAGGGGGUGGAAAGAAUUUCGGUCAAGGAUGGACUCGCGGCCUAUCAGCUAGCUGGUGAGGUAACGGCCCACCAAGGCGACGACGGGUAGCCGGCCUGAGAGGGUGACCGGCCACACUGGGACUGAGACACGGCCCAGACUCCGACGGGAGGCAGCAGUGGAGAAUAUUGCACAAUGGGCGCAAGCCUGAUGCAGCAACGCCGCGUGAGGGAUGACGGCCUUCGGGUUGUAAACCUCUUUUAGUAGGGAAGAAGCGAAAGUGACGGUACCUGCAGAAAAAGCACCGGCUAACUACGUGCCAGCAGCCGCGGUAA